ACUGAACGCUGGCGGCAGGCUUAACACAUGCAAGUCGAGCGGGGGAAGGUAGCUUGCUACUGGACCUAGCGGCGGACGGGUGAGUAAUGCUUAGGAAUCUGCCUAUUAGUGGGGGACAACAUCUCGAAAGGGAUGCUAAUACCGCAUACGUCCUACGGGAGAAAGCAGGGGAUCUUCGGACCUUGCGCUAAUAGAUGAGCCUAAGUCGGAUUAGCUAGUUGGUGGGGUAAAGGCCUACCAAGGCGACGAUCUGUAGCGGGUCUGAGAGGAUGAGCGGCCACACUGGGACUGAGACACGGCCCAGACUCCUACGGGAGGCAGCAGUGGGGAAUAUUGGACAAUGGGGGGAACCCUGAUCCAGCCAUGCCGCGUGUGUGAAGAAGGCCUUAUGGUUGUAAAGCACUUUAAGCGAGGAGGAGGCUACUCUAGUUAAUACCUAGGGAUAGUGGACGUUACUCGCAGAAUAAGCACCGGCUAACUCUGUGCCAGCCGCCGCCGUAG
rnacentral:rRNA from 1 species